rnacentral:misc_RNA from 1 species
GAAUGAAGAACGCAGCGAAAUGCGAUAAGUAAUGUGAAUUGCAGAAUUCAGUGAAUCAUCGAAUCUUUGAACGCACAUUGCGCCCUGUGGUAUUCCGCAGGGCAUGCCUGUUCGAGCGUCAUUUCAACCCUCAAGCCUCGCUUGGUGUUGGGCCCUGCCCGCCGCGGCCGGCCCUAAAGAUAGUGGCGGCGCCGCCUGGCCCUCAGCGUAGUACAGCUCUCGCUCCAGGGUCCGGCGGCAGCCUGCCAGAACCCCCCAACUCUGUGGUUGACCUCGGAUCAGGUAGGGAUACCCGCUGAACUUAAGCAUAUCAAUAAGCGGAGGA